GACGAACGCUGGCGGCGUGCCUAAUACAUGCAAGUUGAGCGAUGAAGAUUGGUGCUUGCACCAAUUUGAAGAGCAGCGAACGGGUGAGUAACGCGUGGGGAAUCUGCCUUUGAGCGGGGGACAACAUUUGGAAACGAAUGCUAAUACCGCAUAACAACUUUAAACAUAAGUUUUAAGUUUGAAAGAUGCAAUUGCAUCACUCAAAGAUGAUCCCGCGUUGUAUUAGCUAGUUGGUGAGGUAAAGGCUCACCAAGGCGAUGAUACGUAGCCGACCUGAGAGGGUGAUCGGCCACAUUGGGACUGAGACACGGCCCAAACUCCUACGGGAGGCAGCAGUAGGGAAUCUUCGGCAAUGGACGAAAGUCUGACCGAGCAACGCCGCGUGAGUGAAGAAGGUUUUCGGAUCGUAAAACUCUGUUGGUAGAGAAGAACGUUGGUGAGAGUGGAAAGCGCAUCAAGUGACGGUAACUACCCAGAAAGGGACGGCUAACUACGU
rnacentral:rRNA from 1 species